CAAAACUCUAAAAAAACAAUCUCAGUUCAGAUUGCAGGCUGCAACUCGCCUGCAUGAAGUCGGAAUUGCUAGUAAUCGUAGGUCAGCAUACUACGGUGAAUACGUUCCCGGGCCUUGUACACACCGCCCGUCAAACCAUGAGAGUUGGCAACACCCGAAGUCGGUAGUCUAACCGCAAGGAGGACGCCGCCGAAGGUGGGGUUGAUGAUUAGGGUUAAGUCGUAACAAGGUACC
rnacentral:rRNA from 1 species